UACGGUAGGGUGCAAGCGUUGUCCGGAAUUAUUGGGCGUAAAGAGCUCGUAGGCGGUUUGUCGCGUCUGCUGUGAAAACUCGGGGCUUAACUCCGGGCCUGCAGUGGGUACGGGCAGACUAGAGUGCGGUAGGGGAGACUGGAAUUCCUGGUGUAGCGGUGAAAUGCGCAGAUAUCAGGAGGAACACCAGUGGCGAAGGCGGCCGGCUGGGGGUGACCUGACGCUGAGGCGCGAAAGCGUGGGGAGCGAACCGG
rnacentral:rRNA from 1 species